rnacentral:rRNA from 1 species
AUGGUCGUGCCGCGCAUUCAUCGCAGACCUCACCGACUUAGGAUCGUAGGGAAAAGUGUGGACUAUGGUGGCCAUGGCACGUCUUCACCAACGAGUCAUGGCGUCGGCAACAAUAUUCAAGAUUUCGUGUUUCCUUCAUUUUCAAGCAUCUCUCUUUCAAGCGAUAUAUGCAGGUUCAUCAUUCAUGCGAGGGAUAUAAAAGAUGAAACAAAAGUAAAAGGUGUUUAUGCCUACAAAGGCAUUCUACUACUUGCAGUUUCUGUAGUUCAAUCAAACAGUACAAUUUUCAAAUUAUAUUUGUUAUGGUUAGAUAUAAAUUUUAAAAGUUUCGAGGUUCCAUGA